rnacentral:rRNA from 1 species
ACGGCUCAGUAACACGUGGUCAAACUACCCUAUGGAGGAGAACAAUCUCGGGAAACUGAGGCUAAUUCUCCACAAGGCUCUCCCACUGGAAGGUGGAGAGCUGGAAACGCGCCAGCGCCAUAGGAUGUGACUGCGGCCGAUUAGGUAGAUGGUGGGGUAAUGGCCCACCAUGCCGAUAAUCGGUACGGGUAGUGAGAGCUAGAGCCCGGAGACGGACUCUGAGACAAGAGUCCGGGCCCUACGGGGCGCAGCAGGCGCGAAACCUUUACACUGCACGACAGUGCGAUAGGGGGAUUCCGAGUGCGAGGGCAUACAGUCCUCGCUUUUGUGUACCGUAAGGUGGUACACGAAUAAGAGCUGGGCAAGACCGGUGCCAGCCGCCGCGGUAAUACCGGCAGCUCGAGUGAUGACCGAUUUUAUUGGGCCUAAAGCGUCCGUAGCCGGCCAGUCAGGUCCGUCGGGAAAUCCACUCGCUCAACGAGUGGGCGUCCGGCGGAAACCGUCUGGCUUGGGACCGGAAGAUCCAAGGGGUACGUCUGGGGUAGGAGUGAAAUCCUGUAAUCCUGGACGGACCGCCGAUGGCGAAAGCACCUUGGAAGGACGGAUCCGACAGUGAAGGACGAAAGCUAGGGUCUCGAACCGGAUUA